GGGAAUACCUGAUGGCAUCACAUUAUAAAGAAUCUCUGUUUGACGCCCUACUCAACGACAAAAAAUUUAGGUUUGGCAUUAUGGUUAAGGGGUAUGACACUUCCCUUCCUGCAGAUGAAGUCGAGAGUGUUUUGAGAACACAUUUCUCUUCUUGUGGAGAGAUAACACAUGUUUACAUUUCUACUCCCAACAACCGUGCUAAUAGGAGAAGCUUUGGCGCUGGGUCUUCAUGGAAGUGAAGUGAGAGGAUUCAGAAUAACUACUAGGAGCUUAGCCAAGGUCAGAAGUUAACCCUCCCCUUAUCCCCGGUCAAACUCAAACUCGUCGUAUUGGCUAUACCGUCCCAGCUCAUAUCAUCGAGUUUGCUCCCGAGAUUGGGUGGAAGGUCAUGGCUUUUAAGAGGAUUAAGAGGAUCAUGAAGAAGGUCGCGGCUUUUAAGAGGAUGAAGAGGACCUUGAAGACGAGGUCAGGGCUUUUAUGAAGGAGAGGAGGCUCAUUCUCUCUCAAAAAGACUGAGAAGCUCUUUGAUCAAUGCAGCCUUUCUUGAUUUUAUCACUUGGCGCCAUCAAAAAGCUCAAUGUAUGAUGACCCUUUUGUUUGUGUGUGUGUGGAUGGUAAACAUAACUCUAAUAAUUGUCAAAAAAAAAGACAUAAAUUUAAUAUUAGUUAUCUUCGUAUUAUUAUCCGAUUUGCUUAGGUAGAGCAGAAGCAUAAUCUCCUCAUUGCCUCAUUGUAUCGUUCGGAACUCGCGAAUGAACAUUUUUAGUGUUGGAAUAAAACAGUUGUUAUUCUUUU